rnacentral:rRNA from 1 species
CUGGUUGAUCCUGCCGGAGGCUACUGCUAUUGGAAUCCGAUUAAGCCAUGCGAGUCUAAAGGACUUCGGUCCUUGGCGGACGGCUCAGUAACACGUGGAGAACCUGCCCUCAGGAGGGGGAUAACCCCGGGAAACUGGGAAUAAUACCCCAUAGGUCUAGAAUGCUGGAAUGCUUCUAGGCUCAAAGCUCCGGCGCCUGAGGAUGGCUCUGCGGCUUAUCAGGUUGUAGUGAGAGUAACGUCCUCACUAGCCUAUGACGGGUACGGGCCCUGAGAGGGGAUGCCCGGAGAUGGACUCUGAGACACGAGUCCAGGCCCUACGGGGCGCAGCAGGCGCGAAAACUCCGCAAUGCUCGAAAGAGUGACGGGGGGAUUCCAAGUGCCUACGCUUAGCGUAGGCUGUUCAGAUGCCUAAAAAGCAUCUGGAGUAAGGGCUGGGUAAGACGGGUGCCAUCUGUGGCAGCAGCCGAAGAUUUGGCUUGUUGCUGCAAGGCAUAAGCCGCCGCGGUAAUACCCGCAGCCCGAGUGGUAGUCGAUUUUAUUGGGCCUAAAGCGUCCGUAGCCGGUCUGGUAAAUGCCUGGGUAAAUCGCAAGGCUUAACCUUGCGAAUUCUAGGUAGACUGCCAGACUUGGGACCGGGAGAGGCUGGAGGUACUCCCAGGGUAGGGGUGAAAUCCUGUAAUCCUGGGGGGACCACCUGUGGCGAAGGCGUCCAGCCAGAACGGGUCCGACGGUGAGGGACGAAGCCCAGGGGCGCAAACCGGAUUAGAUACCCGGGUAGUCCUGGGUGUAAACGCUGCUCGCUUGAUGUUAGGUAGGCUCCGGGCCUACCUAGUGUCGGAGAGAAGUUGUUAAGCGAGCUGCCUGGGGAGUACGGCCGCAAGGCUGAAACUUAAAGGAAUUGGCGGGGGAGCACUGCAACGGGUGGAGCGUGCGGUUUAAUUGGAUUCAACGCCGG